UACGUAGGGAGCAAGCGUUGUCCGGAAUCAUUGGGCGUAAAGCGCGCGUAGGUGGCCAUGUAAGUCCGCUGUGAAAGUCAAAGGCUCAACCUUUGAAAGCCGGUGGAUACUGCAUGGCUAGAGUACGGAAGAGGCGAGUGGAAUUCCUGGUGUAGCGGUGGAAUGCGCAGAUAUCAGGAGGAACACCAAUAGCGAAGGCAGCUCGCUGGGACGUACUGACACUGAGGCGCGAAAGCGUGGGGAGCAAACAGG
rnacentral:rRNA from 1 species